rnacentral:lncRNA from 1 species
GUAACUUCCUGUUCCAGGAGUCUGGUGCUGGGCAGCAGUUUUGGGGCCUCUGCACCUCCUGUGCUCAGUCACUGGCUGGUGCUGACCAGGAGGGAUCGGCCUCGGCUCCAGUGUGGAGGGACACCCAGAAGAUGCUGCUGUCCUCCCGUCUGCUGAUGCCUCCAGUGCCAUCUCGCAGCAGGCUGAUGACCAGGGUCCCAUUUCCAGCAGGCUGGGGCUGGAAGGUGGGCACAGACUCCAGGACUUGGUUAUUAAAUCAGCAAAACCCAAAUGCUCCCAAGAUGAACUCUUGAUGGUGCAAUAGCGGCAAAUUACCUUGCAGACUUCCAGUCAGUGCAAAUCACAGCGAGGGACAUCCUCAGGAGAAAGCACCC